rnacentral:lncRNA from 1 species
UCGAUGACUCAUCAGUGGUCUCUAUUCAAUGACUCAUCGGUGGUCCCGAUCCAAUGACUCAUUGGUGGUCUUGAUACAAUGACUCAUCAGUGAUCUCGAUUCAAUGACUUAUCAGGGGUCUUGUUUCAAUGACUCAUCAAUGGUCUUGAUUCAAUGACUCAUCAGUGGUCAUGAUUCAAUGACUCAUCAGUGGUCUCUAUGAAAUGACUCAUUAGUGGUCUCAAUUCAAUGACUCAUCAGUGGUAUCGAUUCAAUGACUCAUCAGUGGUCUCGAUCCAAUGACUCAUCGACGAUAUUGAUUCAAUAACUCAUCAGUGGUCAUGAUUCAUUGACUCACCAGAAGUCUCUAUUCAAUGACUCAGUAGUGGUCAUGAUUCAAUGACUCAUCAGUGGUCUCUAUUAAAUGACUCAUUAGUGGUCUCAAUUCAAUGACUCAUCAGUGGUCUCGAUUCAAUGACUCAUCAGUGAUCAUGAUUCAAUGACUCAUCAGUGGUCUUAAUUCAAUGACUCAUUAGUGGUAUCUAUUCAAUGACUCAUCAGUAGUGUCGAUCCAACGACUCAUCGACGGUCUUGAUUCAAUGACUCAUCAGUGGUCAUGAUUCAUUGACUCACCAGUGGUCUCUAUUCAAUGACUCAGUAGUGGUCAUGAUUCAAUGACUCAUCAGUGGUCUCUAUUAAAUGACUCAUUCGUGGUCUCAAUUUAAUUACUCAUCAGUGGUCUCGAUUCAAUGACUCAUCAGUGAUCAUGAUUCAAUGACUCAUUGGUGGUCUCUAUUCUAUGACUCAUCAGUGGUCUUGAUUUAAUGACUCAUCAUGGGUCUUGAUUCAAUGACUCAUCAGUGAUCUCGUUUUUCACAAUUUAAAAACAGAAGAAAUGUGCCUGGUAUAAAAUUUGACUGACAAUAUCGAAUCGUAA